ACAAGUAAACAAAAAAGUAAGGGCCUGGCGGUGGCUACACAAUGCAGUCGAACGGCAGCACAGGAGAGCUUGCUCUCUGGGUGGCGAGUGGCGGACGGGUGAGGAAUACAUCGGAAUCUACUCUGUCGUGGGGGAUAACGUAGGGAAACUUACGCUAAUACCGCAUACGACCUACGGGUGAAAGCAGGGGAUCUUCGGACCUUGCGCGAUUGAAUGAGCCGAUGUCGGAUUAGCUAGUUGGCGGGGUAAAGGCCCACCAAGGCGACGAUCCGUAGCUGGUCUGAGAGGAUGAUCAGCCACACUGGAACUGAGACACGGUCCAGACUCCUACGGGAGGCAGCAGUGGGGAAUAUUGGACAAUGGGCGCAAGCCUGAUCCAGCCAUACCGCGUGGGUGAAGAAGGCCUUCGGGUUGUAAAGCCCUUUUGUUGGGAAAGAAAUCCAGCUGGCUAAUACCCGGUUGGGAUGACGGUACCCAAAGAAUAAGCACCGGCUAACUUCGUGCCAGCAGCCGCGGUAAUACGAAGGGUGCAAGCGUUACUCGGAAUUACUGGGCGUAAAGCGUGCGUAGUGGUCGUUUAAGUCCGUUGUGAAAGCCCUGAGCUCAACCUGGGAACUGCAGUGGAUACUGGGCGACUAGAUGUGGUAGAGGGUAGCGGAAUUCCUGGUGUAGCAGUGAAUGCGUAAAGAUCAGGAGGAACAUCCAUGGCGAAGGCAGCUACCUGGACCACAUUGACACUGAGGCACGAAAGCGUGGGGGAGCCAAACGGAUUAGAUACCCUG
rnacentral:rRNA from 1 species